CUUGAUCGAUCCCAGACGCAGCGGCUCCUCGCGGUCCUGGCCGUAGGUGGCCAGCAGCGCGUUGGCCUC
rfam:Streptomyces cellostaticus strain DSM 40189 genomic scaffold PRJNA299219_s012, whole genome shotgun sequence.